GACGAGGGACCUAGCGUUGUUCGGAAUCAUUGGGCGUAAAGAGUAUGUAGGCGGCCUUGUAAGUCAGUUGUGAAAGCCCCGGGCUCAACCCGGGAAGUGCAAUUGAUACUGCUUGGCUUGAAUGUGGAAGAGGGUAGUAGAAUUCCAGGUGUAGUGGUGAAAUACGUAGAUAUCUGGAGGAAUACCGGUGGCGAAGGCGGGCUACCUGGUCCUACAUUGACGCUGAGAUACGAAAGCAUGGGGAGCAAACAGG
rnacentral:rRNA from 1 species